UGGGGAAUAUUGCACAAUGGGCGCAAGCCUGAUGCAGCAACGCCGCGUGAGGGACGACGGCCUUCGGGUUGUAAACCUCUUUUAGUAGGGAAGAAGCGAAAGUGACGGUACCUGCAGAAAAAGCACCGGCUAACUACGUGCCAGCAGCCGCGGUAAUACGUAGGGUGCGAGCGUUGUCCGGAAUUAUUGGGCGUAAAGAGCUCGUAGGCGGUCUGUCGCGUCUGCUGUGAAAACCCGAGGCUCAACCUCGGGCCUGCAGUGGGUACGGGCAGACUAGAGUGCGGUAGGGGAGAAUGGAAUUCCUGGUGUAGCGGUGGAAUGCGCAGAUAUCAGGAGGAACACCGAUGGCGAAGGCAGUUCUCUGGGCCGUAACUGACGCUGAGGAGCGAAAGCGUGGGGAGCGAACAGGAUUAGAUACCCUGGUAGUCCACGCCGUAAACGUUGGGCGCUAGAUGUGGGGACCAUUCCACGGUUUCCGUGUCGCGGCUAACGCAUUAAGCGCCCCGCCUGGGGAGUACGGCCGCAAGGCUAAAACUCAAAUGAAUUGACGGGGUCAUAGCUGUUUCCU
rnacentral:rRNA from 1 species